UGAGGAAUAUUGCGCAAUGGAGGCAACUCUGACGCAGCGACGCCGCGUGGGCGAAGAAGGUCUUCGGAUCGUAAAGCCCUUUUCUCUGUGACGAGAACAGGACGGUAGCAGAGGAAUAAGUCUCGGCUAACUACGUGCCAGCAGCCGCGGUAAAACGUAGGAGGCGAGCGUUAUCCGGAGUUACUGGGCGUAAAGCGCGUGUAGGCGGCUGCGCAGGUCGGAUGUGAAAGCUCCCAGGCUAAACCGGGAGAGGUCAUUCGAAACCGUGUAGCUAGAGGAUGGCAGAGGCGUGUGGAAUUCCGGGUGUAGUGGUGAAAUGCGCAGAUAUCCGGAGGAACACCAGUGGCGAAGGCGACACGCUGGGCCAUCACUGACGCUGAGACGCGAAAGCAUGGGGAGCGAACG
rnacentral:rRNA from 1 species